GCUCCCAUGGCGUAGUGGUUUCUGCACUCGCCUUGCACGCGGGAGACCCGGGUUCGAUUCCCGGCGGGGUCA
rnacentral:tRNA from 1 species